rnacentral:rRNA from 1 species
GACGAAGGGGGCAAGCGUUGUUCGGAAUUACUGGGCGUAAAGGGCGCGUAGGCGGCCAUUUGAGUCAGACGUGAAAGGCCUGGGCUCAACCUGGGAAUUGCGUUUGAUACUGGAUGGCUUGAGAGCGGGAGAGGAUGGUGGAAUUCCCAGUGUAGAGGUGAAAUUCGUAGAUAUUGGGAAGAACACCGGUGGCGAAGGCGGCCAUCUGGACCGUAUCUGACGCUGAGGCGCGAAAGCGUGGGGAGCAAACACU